AGGGAGAAGGGGACAAGGGAGACUUGGAGGAGGCAGUGUCUAACCCCUUCCCUUUCUCUCUCCAGUUUUAUGAGACCCCACUUCAGUCCCUCUAUGGUGAGUGCGAUCCUCCAUAGAACAACAGAGGCAGUUCUGGGGAGCGCAGAGGAAGACAAAGAGGUAUGUCCUCUGCUUUAAGUUCUUUUUGCACAGCUCUUUCUUCUUCCCACACUCUUACAAAAUUUAACCCAGCAGCACUCAACCUCUCUUCUCUCUUUUCCCACAGGAACUGAAGAGGCCAUUCCAGAGCCUGCUGGGUGGUCUCCUCCUAGAAGCCCCCAAUACUGGCACCCUUCUCCAGUUGCUUACCGACCUCCGAUAUUACGCCCUUUUGGGGAGUGAAGACCAAAGGAAAUUAGCGGCCAGCAGUAUAUCCCUGCUGCUGGCCCUUUCACGAAGAUUCCCGAACCUCAGAAACACAGUAAUUCGGC
rnacentral:lncRNA from 1 species